AGGAUGCAAGCGUUAUCCGGAAUCAUUGGGUUUAAAGGGUCCGUAGGUGGACAAUUAAGUCAGAGGUGAAAUCCUGCAGCUCAACUGUAGAAUUGCCUUUGAUACUGGUUGUCUUGAAUUAUUGUGAAGUGGUUAGAAUAUGUAGUGUAGCGGUGAAAUGCAUAGAUAUUACAUAGAAUACCAAUUGCGAAGGCAGAUCACUAACAAUAUAUUGACACUGAUGGACGAAAGCGUGGGGAGCGAACGGGAUUAGAUACCCCGGUAGUCCACGCCGUAAACGAUGGUCACUAGCUGUUCGGAUUUCGGUCUGAGUGGCUAAGCGAAAGUGAUAAGUGACCCACCUGGGGAGUACGUUCGCAAGAAUGAAACUCAAAGGAAUUGACGGG
rnacentral:rRNA from 1 species